AGAGUUUGAUCCUGGCUCAGAACGAACGCUGGCGGCAGGCUUAACACAUGCAAGUCGAACGCAUCCUUCGGGGUGAGUGGCAGACGGGUGAGUAACGCGUGGGAACGUGCCCUUCAGUUCGGAAUAACCCAGGGAAACUUGGGCUAAUACCGGAUACGUGCGAGAGCAGAAAGAUUUAUCGCUGAAGGAUCGGCCCGCGUCUGAUUAGCUAGUUGGUGAGGUAAUGGCUCACCAAGGCGACGAUCAGUAGCUGGUCUGAGAGGAUGAUCAGCCACAUUGGGACUGAGACACGGCCCAAACUCCUACGGGAGGCAGCAGUGGGGAAUAUUGGACAAUGGGCGCAAGCCUGAUCCAGCCAUGCCGCGUGAGUGAUGAAGGCCUUAGGGUUGUAAAGCUCUUUCGUCCGGGACGAUAAUGACGGUACCGGAAGAAGAAGCCCCGGCUAACUUCGUGCCAGCAGCCGCGGUAAUACGAAGGGGGCUAGCGUUGUUCGGAAUCACUGGGCGUAAAGGGCGCGUAGGCGGCUUGAUAAGUCGGGGGUGAAAGCCUGUGGCUCAACCACAGAAUUGCCUUCGAUACUGUCUGGCUUGAGACCGGAAGAGGUAAGUGGAACUGCGAGUGUAGAGGUGACAUUCGUAGAUAUUCGCAAGAACACCAGUGGCGAAGGCGGCUUACUGGUCCGGUUCUGACGCUGAGGCGCGAAAGCGUGGGGAGCAAACAGGAUUAGAUACCCUAGUAGUCC
rnacentral:rRNA from 1 species